GUGGGUGGCAAGCGUUGUCCGGAAUUAUUGGGGCGUAAAGCGCGCGCAGGCGGUUCUUUAAGUCUGAUGUGAAAGCCCACGGGCUCAACCGUGGAGGGUCAUUGGAAACUGGAGAACUUGAGUACAGAAGAGGAAAGCGGAAUUCCACGUGUAGCGGUGAAAUGCGUAGAGAUGUGGAGGAACACCAGUGGCGAAGGCGGCUUUCUGGUCUGUAACUGACGCUGAGGCGCGAAAGCGUGGGGAGCAAACAGGAUUAGAUACCCUGGUAGUCCACGCCGUAAACGAUGAGUGCUAAGUGUUAGGGGGUUUCCGCCCCUUAGUGCUGCAGCUAACGCAUUAAGCACUCCGCCUGGGGAGUACGGCCGCAAAGGCUGA
rnacentral:rRNA from 1 species